AGAGUUUGAUUAUGGCUCAGGAUGAACGCUAGCUACAGGCUUAACACAUGCAAGUCGAGGGGCAGCAUUGGAGUAGCAAUACUUCAGAUGGCGACCGGCGCACGGGUGAGUAACACGUAUCCAACCUGCCGCUUACUCGGGGAUAGCCUUUCGAAAGAAAGAUUAAUACCCGAUGGUAUAAAGAGUUCGCAUGUUCUCUUUAUUAAAGAAUUUCGGUAAGCGAUGGGGAUGCGUUCCAUUAGAUAGUUGGCGGGGUAACGGCCCACCAAGUCUACGAUGGAUAGGGGUUCUGAGAGGAAGGUCCCCCACAUUGGAACUGAGACACGGUCCAAACUCCUACGGGAGGCAGCAGUGAGGAAUAUUGGUCAAUGGACGAGAGUCUGAACCAGCCAAGUAGCGUGAAGGAUGACUGCCCUAUGGGUUGUAAACUUCUUUUAUAAGGGAAUAAAGUGAGGGACGUGUCCCUUUUUGUAUGUACCUUAUGAAUAAGGAUCAGCUAACUCCGUGCCAGCAGCGGC
rnacentral:rRNA from 1 species